rnacentral:rRNA from 1 species
CCUGAGCAGCACGCCGCGUGAGGGAUGACGGCCUUCGGGUUGUAAACCUCUUUUAGCAGGGAAGAAGCGAAAGUGACGGUACCUGCAGAAAAAGCGCCGGCUAACUACGUGCCAGCAGCCGCGGUAAUACGUAGGGCGCAAGCGUUAUCCGGAAUUAUUGGGCGUAAAGAGCUCGUAGGCGGUUUGUCGCGUCUGCUGUGAAAUCCCCGAGGCUCAACCUCGGCCCUGCAGUGGGUACGGGCAGACUAGAGUGCGGGAGGGGGAGAUUGGAAUUCUGGUUGUAGCGGUGAAAUGCGCAAGAUUCAGGAGGACACCGGGUGGGAAAGCGGGUUCUUUGGUUAGUAACUGGACCCUGAGGGAGCAAAAGCUGGGUUGCAAACAGGAUUAGAAUACCCUGGUAGUCCACCCGAUAAACGGGGGGAC